CCAAUAGCGUAUAUUAAAGUUGCUGCAGUUAAAAAGCUCGUAGUUGAAUUUCGGGAUCAUCAUGUCGGUCGUGCCUCGGUACGUACUGGCAUCGUUGAUUUCUCCCUUCUGACGAACCAUGAUGUCAUUUAUUUGGUGUUGUGGGGAAUCAGGACUGUUACUUUGAAAAAAUUAGAGUGUUUAAAGCAGGCUCACGCUUGAAUACAUUAGCAUGGAAUAAUGAAAUAGGACGUUUGAUUCUAUUUUGUUGGUUUCUAGGAUCGACGUAAUGAUUAAUAGGGAUAGUUGGGGGCAUUAGUAUUCAAUUGUCAGAGGUGAAAUUCUUGGAUUUAUUGAAGACUAACUACUGCGAAAGCAUUUGCCAAGGAUGUUUUCAUUAAUCAAGAACGAAAGUUAGUGGAUCGAAGACGAUCAGAUACCGUCGUAGUCUUAACCAUAAACUAUGCCGACUAGGGAUCGGAUGAUGUUAAUUUUUUAAUGACUCAUUCGGCGCCUUACG
rnacentral:rRNA from 1 species